AAUUUUAUUGUAAUUACAACAGCUGUAAACAAGAGCAUUUUCCUCACUUGUUUAUGGACGGAAUAUAAGUUAACAAGUGAAGUCUACACAUACUGAAGAGCAGCACUGUCUGUCUCUCCUGCUACUGAACACGCUUCUGACACCAGCCGUGUGGCUGUGCCACACCGAGCAGUGGAACACUGACUGGGUGUCCUGCAGCUUGGCCCAGUUCUGACACCACCUGCCUGGAGUUAGCUCAGACCCCACAAUUUAAGGGCUCAGUCGCAUGAGUCUGCCCCCACUUAAGACACGAGUUGCAAGUCCCAGGUGGUUCCGACCAGCCGGCUAUACAUGGGGUUCCCACAGCCCCCUUUUUGGGCUCACAUUUGCCGGAACGGCUCUCAGAGCUCAGGAAAGCAUGUCAUGUGCCACUGCAGUUGGUGUGUCAUAAAGGAUGCAGCUCAGGAAAAGCCAGAUGGACGAGAGACACGUGCGAGUCACGUGGGAAGGGGCGGGGCCUCCCGUCCCAGGUGCCCCACCCUCCCCGCACCGCCCUGUGCUCACCGGCCUGGGAGGCCCCACGUCCCAGCAACAGGGGCUUUUACGUGAGUGUGACCGAGUCCUCAUCGGCCAUGUCAUUAACCUCGACGUCCAAACCCUCUCCCUUCCGUGGAGGUCAGGGGGUGAAGCUGGAAAUUCCAACCCCCCUAGUCACCCCAGAUUUAGGAGCUCUCUGCCAGAAACUGGGAUCAAAGACCAAAUUCAUUCUUUAUUAAAUCACAACCCUGAGUGAAAAUAACCUCUUGGAAGCCUGGAAAAGUGUGGGGGUUACACAUCAAAUGCUAAGUGAGCUCCACACAAAGGGUGGGGUCACAGAGGCACACGAUAGAACCCGCGUUUAAGGACCUUGAAUCCAGCCAGGACACAGGAGGGACAGAAGGGCCACAGCGGCUGCCCCUCUCCCCUGGGAGCGGUGGCCAGUCACUGCCGGGUCCCCCCUCGCCUGCACAGCGGGGUCCCGUGUGUGCCACCGUCCGGGGUCCUCGGUCGGCAGCUCACUAUCUUGACAGCCUGAUUUUAGGGUUUUCGUUUCUCAGAAAAGUUGCGCACUAUUUAGGGACGAGAAGGACUGCUUUAUUUCUAUUGUUUAAAGAAUCUUUAAAGGAUCUUGCCAGAUACUCUAUCAGGCUGAGCCGGAGGCGUCCACACAUCACCACAUACCCCGGUGGCAGAAAGGGCUGAAGAGGAGAGAUUCCGUUUUUCUGCUGUUACAAGGAUUUGCAUGGAGAUUCCCACCACCCAUAAACUGGGAUGACCGUCGCCCCGAACUCUCUGAACUCCACCUCGUUUAGAAUACUUUCAAACAUCUGGGAAAACCCGGGAGUCACUGAAGGCGACAGCAGAUUUAUGGGACUCUGACCUGCAGGCGUGGUGACCGCAGCGCAGCGUGAGGAGCUGGCCCUCGGCUCACGGGCUGUGGGCACGCGUGUUAUUACAGCCUGUGUGGGAACGUUAUGUACUUCAAAGGAAGACAAUCCAAACAGGCUGAUGAGGAGUGUGUUGGAGAAAAGUCUUAAGCUAAGGCUGUGUGGACCAGCGCAGACACUGUCUGGAAGCUCUAGGGCUCCGUCAUGGGCUGAACUGUGUCCCCUCCACUUUGCAUGUUGAAGUCCUAACCCCCAGGACCUCUGAACGUGACCGUAUUUUGGAGAUACCUUUAAAGAGGUAAUUAGGGUAAAUUGACGUCACAUGAGUGGGCCCUACGCCAAUAUGACUGGUGUCCUUAUAAGAGGAGGAAGUCUGGGCACAGAUACGCCCAGAGGGAAGACGUAAGGAGAAGGCGGCGUCUGUGAGCCGAGGAGAAAGGCUCUCAGAAGGGGCCAACCUGACUGGCACCUAGAUCUUGGACUUCCAGCCUGCAGAGCUGUGACACAACCCAUUUCUGUUGUUUAAACCCCCCACCUGUGGUCCUCUGUCACGGCAGUCACAAAAACUCAUUCAGAUUUCAAGAAUCACAAUGUUUUCUUUGGGUUUUUAAUGGAAAUGAGUGUCUAAAGGCCAGAGAUGACUUUCUGUUCAUCUGUAUCAGGUGAAUAUUCUGUGUUGAGUUUAUGUUCUCAAUAAGUUAAAGUCCUUUUGCCUUCCUCUUUCAAUCAGCUGUCUGGGGCCCCCUGGUUUCAGUCUCGUCACUUUCUUUCAGAAUGAGAAGAAACAGAGGCAGAAGAUGCACCACGGCCCGCGCGGAGGAGGUGCGGGCUCGGGGGUGGAGCUGACCCACGUGGCUGGGGUCCGGGCUUGGUCAUCCCGCUGCCCGAUGACUGAGUGGAGCCGGACGUCUGAGUCAUCACUUGGCAGUGUGCUUGCACACCCGCAGCUAAAAAACACCCUUCUGAGCCCCUGAUCUUGGCUUAGAGAUGGUUAAAAAAUUAAGUGCAACUUAAGUUGUGGCAGAGGAAGGUCAACCCAUUUUCUGAGACGUUCAGACGCUGCCCUGGGCGACGGGAGGGUUUGCACAGCUCCAGAGGGCCUUUCCCAUCGAGUGUGCUGGGCGCGUCACCAGGAGACGGGUAACCCCGUGACCCUGCUCUUCCUCCGGCUGAGACCCGAGGCGUUGUUGAAAUCUGCCAGCCCCGUGAAGAGACACAUGGUCCUAGUCUUCAAGGAGUUCGCAGCAUCCAAAAGAGAAAUGAGCCCACGUUUAAGACGAGACAGAACGAGAUAAUAAAAUACACGUGUGGAGCUCUUUGCCAUUUAGGGAGCACUUUCAAUCCAUGUGUAUAUUUGAUCUUCAUAGCAACUCUAGGCCACCAGCAAAGCAGGAAGCGUUGUCUUCACUUUACACAUGAGGAAUCCAGGACGAUAAGGUUGGUAAUUUGUCCGAGAUGGCUGAGGGAGUAAGGGUCAGAUCUGGGGAAACAAUGCAGGUGUUUGAUUACAGAGAGGCAAACAAGAGAGGAAGAUGGAGAUAAAGUGAAAAACCCAAGAAAGAGACUGAGGGACUGAGCACGGGCGGGGAGAGGGGGAAGGGCACACACUAAGCCAAAGGACCCUCAGGGACAGAGGUGGGGGGGCCAGAAAGUGGUCACAGACGGACGGAGAUGGGGUGCCAACUGUCGGAAGGGCUGGAGCGCGUUUAAUUCACACUUAGUUCCAGGCCAUCGUCUGGGACCCGUUUGUUCUUACUUCCAGGCCGUUAUUUGUGCUCUGGGAGUAACGUGACCUUGAAGGCUGGAGCACUGUCUAAAUCUCUCUUUCUGGAGCCUGACCUGAUUCCUGGCACUUUGAAGCUCGCUGGAAAUGUUUAUUGUGAAAACCACUGAAACUCUUCGGUUGGAGAAUGACUGGGCAGCCAGUCGGAGGCUGGGCUGGGGAAGAGGGACCAGGGCCUGAACCAGGGGCGGGGCCGUAGGAGAGGGGACUCCUGUCAGCCUUGACGUGAACUGGGCGGUGCUCUGUUUGCUCACGGAGACAUCGUGCUUUUUGCCCAGAAAGCUUCCUGCCGUCAGCUGAUGAAAACGCGAUGAAGCCAAACUGUUUUGCAGACCCUGAGCCAGAGCUGUCUCUUCUUCCAGCCGCCUGGCAAAGGAAAGGAAGGGAGGCAGGAAGGAAAGAGGUAGACCUCCCUUAAGGGUCCUUGCCCUGGUGACUGUAAACACGACUGAGCCCAGCUGAAGGGGAAGUUUUGUGUCCCAAGUCCCUUUCCCUGUCCUCCUGCUUGGGGAACUGAAUUCUGGGCUAUUUCCACUCCGCCCUUCAGAGAACCAGGAACUUAAAUACUCUCCCCCCAGCGAGGCCCAGCCGCCCCCCGGCUGGACGCAGCCCUCCCUGCCAGACACACCCAAGCGCGUGCCCCCACUCCAUCCUCCCAGCGUCUCUCUGACGGCUGGUUCCUUUCCACUCCUGCCCACUCCCAGGUCUGCUCUCUGAGGGCAGGACCAGGUCUGCCUUGUCAACCACGGGAGGGGCUUGGCACAAAGGUUUCAUCAAUGCCUGCAGACUCCCGUCUCCCCCUAGGCCAGCCUUUAUUUACACUGUCUGCCUUCUACCUCUUUUAACAGAAGGGAAGUAGCUUUCCAACCCAUAAGCAUAUUUCUGGUAACCAGGCCACAGAAUUUCCUGCCACAAAAUGUGGCGGAAGGUCUACUCUCAGUGAGGUGGGUGCAGGGACAGAGGUCUGGGCUGCCGCCGUCACUCUAGCUGGUGGCACAGGGGGCCUGCCCUGGACAGACAACUCGGGGGUCGGAAGCGGUGAUGCGGUCCUCUCGCCCGUCCCACACACCACACACAGGAAAUAGCCCUUUUCUGGAGAAGCAGAAAGGGGUUGCUUUAGCUGAUACUGAACUGAGGCCGAAUCUUGGAACCUUUUUAUUUUCCCCUUUACUAAUAUUUUUACUUAAUUUUUUCUAUGUUUUUAUUGUGAUAAAAUACCUGUGACAUAAAGUUUACCUUUGU